UCAAACUGCUUAAGGUAUGUUUAGACUAUCUGAUUUUUUCAUCUGAUUCGAGCUGAUUGCUCGAAAAUAUAUCGAAUGCAAUGUUGUUUUACGUUUACACCUAUUCGAUAUUGUGAUUCGACAUGCCGUUCGAUAUGUCGAAUGAAAUAGGAACGUUUCUACUUUUCGUUCGACUCCAAGAACAUAGCAACCUUUGAUUUUUUUUUCAGUUUUUUGUUUUGGCUUUCCAUAACAAACAUCAUUUUCAUUUCUUGUGUGCUGGCAAAUAUUGAAAUAGGGAAAAGAAUUCAUUUGACAUUCAUUUGGCAGUUCUUCCUUUUGAUUUGUGCAAGCAGUGUGAACACCGUCAUAAACACAGAUUCGACAAAGUAUGUCGAACGGUAAAUCGAGCAGACUUUCGAUUUCUGCAGUGGUCAAAAUAAGACCGACAUGUCUAAUAGUCUAAACGUACCUUUACUUUUCCAUCUACCACUAGCAAUACUCAGAGGAAGAGAUAUGCGAAGAGAAUGUUGUGAGCCAAACGAACAUGUCAAAAUCCGAGCCAAACGAACAAGACAGAUGUAAAACGAGCAGGAUUUACGGCUGAUUAUUACUAUGGAAAAAUCUGCAAACCAACUUCAAUAUUUAGUUAUCGACUCGCUUCGCCAGGUGGAAGUUGCAGAGUGGUAGUUGCUACUUUAUUUUCUAGAAGCAAUACAACUGUCCUGUUUACACCCCAACAAACAACUACUCAUUGAAAUAACGUUUAAAAAACAGAUUUAUUCGGCUAAAUACUGAAUAACCACCGAACUAUUCACAACCACAACUUUUGUUCAUAUUUUGUUCACACAAAUUAGGAGAAUUUAUUCAGCCCCAAGGUAGUUUUAUUGAUGUUGCAUUAUAUUUGUUAGAAUACGUUUAUUCAAUUACGUUCCAACAAUCAAUUCUUCAUUAGAAAAACGUUUGCUCAGUAAUUUUGUUCAGCUGGAUACUAAAUAAUCGUCGAGCUAUUUUCAAUCACAACUUUUGUUCAAACUUUGUUCACUCAAAUAAAGAGAAUUUAUUCAGCUCCAA